UACGGAGGGUGCAAGCGUUAAUCGGAAUUACUGGGCGUAAAGCGUGCGCAGGCGGUUCUAUAAGACAGGUGUGAAAUCCCCGGGCUCAACCUGGGAACUGCAUUUGUGACUGUAGAGCUGGAGUACGGUAGAGGGGGAUGGAAUUCCGCGUGUAGCAGUGAAAUGCGUAGAUAUGCGGAGGAACACCGAUGGCGAAGGCAAUCCCCUGGACCUGUACUGACGCUCAUGCACGAAAGCGUGGGGAGCAAACAGG
rnacentral:rRNA from 1 species